rnacentral:rRNA from 1 species
UACGUAGGGGGCGAGCGUUGUCCGGAUUUAUUGGGUUUAAAGGGUGCGUAGGCGGUUCCAUAAGUCAGUGGUGAAAUACGGCAGCUCAACUGUCGAGGUGCCAUUGAUACUGCGGAACUUGAGUGUUGAUGAGGCAGGCGGAAUUGACGGUGUAGCGGUGAAAUGCUUAGAUAUCGUCAAGAACACCGAUAGCGAAGGCAGCUUGCCAAGCAACAACUGACGCUCAGGCACGAAAGUGCGGGGAUCAAACAGG